rnacentral:rRNA from 1 species
UACGUAGGGUGCAAGCGUUGUCCGGAAUUUAUUGGGCGUAAAGAGCUCGUAGGCGGUUUGUCGCGUCUGCUGUGAAAACUCGGGGCUUAACCCCGGGCCUGCAGUGGGUACGGGCAGACUAGAGUGCGGUAGGGGAGACUGGAAUUCAUGGUGUAGCGGUGAAAUGCGUAGAUAUCAGGAGGAACACCGGUGGUGCAGACGGCUCUCUGGACCGUAACUGACGCUGAGGAGCGAAAGCCAGGGGAGCAAACAGGG